AACGAACGCUGGCGGCAGGCCUAACACAUGCAAGUCGAGCGCCCUUUCGGGGGAGCGGCGGCCGGGUGAGUAACGCGUGGGAAUAUGCCCUUCUCUACGGAAUAGCCUCGGGAAACUGAGAGUAAUACCGUAUACGCCCUGUGGGGGAAAGAUUUAUCGGGGAAGGAUUAGCCCGCGUUGGAUUAGGUAGUUGGUGGGGUAAUGGCCUACCAAGCCGACGAUCCAUAGCUGGUUUGAGAGGAUGAUCAGCCACACUGGGACUGAGACACGGCCCAGACUCCGACGGGAGGCAGCAGUGGGGAAUCUUAGACAAUGGGGGCAACCCUGAUCUAGCCAUGCCGCGUGAGUGAUGAAGGCCUUAGGGUGGUAAAGCUCUUUCAGCGGGGAAGAUAAUGACGGUACCAGCAGAAGAAGCCCCGGCUAACUCCGU
rnacentral:rRNA from 1 species